UGUGUGGAGAUGUCGCAGAAACACAGAGGACUCAUUAUUCACAUCAAAUAUUUCUGUUUUCUCUCCCUGAAAUCUGCAAAAACUCCCAAAACUGAGACUAUCACACCGAGCGGCUUCAACCCAAACAUUCCCACAGCGGAGCCACGCUGAUGGUGGGCGUGGUCACGGAGCUCCUGCCUACACACCUGCAGCUCAUCAGACUACUCAGCACUCCAGUUGCUCAUCAACCGUUUACUCCCCUUUAUAAGCCAGGCCAACCUUCCAGUCCUCGCUGCAGUUAGCCUCACAUGUAUGUCAGUCAGUAUGGAAAGUUUGUGCAGCUGCUUAGUGCUUUUUGCUAAUCUGCCUCCUGUUCUCCUGUCUCCUUCUUGUCAUCUGGACUAUUCCCUGCACCUCCACCUGUCUGUCUGCUUCACCAGUGUACUGGAUCUUCACUAACCCUCCAGCCGGCUCACUUACACACACUGCCCCACCAUCUGGACUCGCCUGUUUUUUUUCACGUACAAUAUCCAAAUAAAACCUCACCUUGUUCAUUCAA